GCAUAUAAGUAAGUGGUGGAAGAAAAAAUAAACAUGAUUCUUUUAGUAAUGGCGAAUGAACAAAGACAUGGUCAUUUUGAAAAUUGUGGUCUUAGACCAUGAAUUGUAUUUUCAAAAUGCAUUGCUAACGCAAUUGCACAUGUUGGUUUAUUGGAAAGAACAUCACAAAGGGUGACAAUCCCAUGUGUCAUGUGUAUGUUUUGUGUACAGUGUGCAUUAUAUGAAUCACAUUCAUUGACAAUUGAAUGCAAAUAGAAUGGUAAAUUUCAUUUAAUCAUAAAUAUGUUGUUGACAACUUAUAGCAAACAAAUACCAUGAGGGAAAUGUGAAAAGGAUUUUGAAAAGAAAAUUAAAAGAGCUUGCAAUUGCUGAACUGAUAAGCAAACAAAACAUACGUGUAUAUGCAAGAUUGUUGUAAUGCUUAACAUAUUAUGCAAGGCUAUUGCAAUGAUUUUUUGUAUAGUGAUGCUACCUUUUGUUAGAAUUUGGAAUGUCUUUUUUUGAGUGUGUAUGGAUUUUUGUUUGUUAACAAAGGAAUGCACUUUUAGAUUCAUUGUUUGAUUUGAUUUAUUAAUGUUUGUGACACAUGUCUUUGUUUUAGUUUCAUGAUUCAACUAAGGCAUUGUGUUUGAUCCAUGUCAGCAAUACAUGUUUUGUUUGACCCGUCUUGAAAC
rnacentral:rRNA from 1 species